AACGAACGCUGGCGGCAGGCUUAACACAUGCAAGUCGAACGAGAUCUUCGGAUCUAGUGGCAGACGGGUGAGGAACACGUGGGAACAUCCCUUUCAGUUCGGAACAACGUUGGGAAACUAACGCUAAUACCGGAUACGUCCUUCGGGAGAAAGAUUUAUCGCUGAAAGAUUGGCCCGCGUCUGAUUAGCUAGUUGGUGAGGUAACGGCUCACCAAGGCUACGAUCAGUAGCUGAUCUGAGAGGAUGAUCAGCCACAUUGGGACUGAGACACGGCCCAAACUCCUACGGGAGGCAGCAGUGGGGAAUAUUGGACAAUGGGCGCAAGCCUGAUCCAGCCAUGCCGCGUGAGUGAUGACGGCCUUCGGGUUGUAAAGCUCUUUUGUCCGGGAAGAUAAUGACUGUACCGGAAGAAUAAGCCCCGGCAAACUUCGUGCCAGCAGCCGCCGUAAGAC
rnacentral:rRNA from 1 species